rnacentral:rRNA from 1 species
UACGUAGGGUCCGAGCGUUGUCCGGAAUUAUUGGGCGUAAAGGGCUCGUAGGCGGUCUGUUGCGUCGGGAGUGAAAACUUACAGCUUAACUGUGAGCGUGCUUCCGAUACGGGCAGACUUGAGGUAUUCAGGGGAGAACGGAAUUCCUGGUGUAGCGGUGAAAUGCGCAGAUAUCAGGAGGAACACCGGUGGCGAAGGCGGGUCUCUGGGCAACUACUGACGCUGAGGAGCGAAAGCGUGGGGAGCGAACAGG